AGGGAGGGGGAAAGAGAGAUUGUGGAAUUCUGGUGGUGAGUGAUGAUUGGAUGAGGAGUUGAAAGGGAGUUUGAAUGUGAGGCAGUUGAGAGUCAGUUGAGAGCAGUGGGUUCUGGAGGGGGUGGUUGGGCAACUAACUAUUCAGUUUAGGAUCAGUAGUCUAGUCAUCAUUUUUGUAAUAAAGCAGCAUGUACGAUAAAGAGAAUUUGAGGCCAUAAGCUCAGAUGGAAUUGCAAUACUCUCUGUCAUGUUUCCUCCUCGCAACAAACCUGCAAACCAUUUUUCAGAUGGGAAACUAAGGUCUGGAGAUAGCAACUGGUCCAAGACCUCACAAAGAGCAUAUGGAAGAGGGAAGACUUGAAAACAGCUCUCCCAAAUGGACAGUUUUCUAAUUCUUGGCUCUUGAGGUGCAGCAGAGCCUCAAGCCAAAAUCUGCUCAUUUCUUUGUGCAAUCAUAUUUCUGGAGUGUCCAUUUUUAUGUGUGCUGUGGACAAGAGCCAGAAUAGCGGUUAUUCAGUCUUAGCUCCACCAUUAGAUCUUGUAAACAUUGAGAUCAGAUGUGUUUACACUGUCUGUACUCCAAAAAGUGGGUCUUUGGGAUGCAAAUGACUAUUGCUGCCUGUAAUUGUAUACCUAACCCUGUAAGGAACUGCAUGUUAGAUGCUACUAAAAUAGAUCAGUUUUGUUAAUCUUUCUCUAUAGUUCCUAACUUUUUAAUAUUUGAUGAGAUUUCAAGGGCCAGCAGCCUUAUACUUAUUUAAUUUUGUUUAUUUGAAAGUUUUAUAUCCAUGAUGGGAGAAGUGGAAAUCUGCAUGUAAGACUUAGCUAAUAAUAUUUCCUCCCUAGCUCUCAUUUCUUCAUAUUUUUUCCUUAUCCAUUGACAUUGUUAUCAUACACCCUGUUGAACAGGCAAAUGACCCUGGCUUUAUCUUCAACUGUCUCUGGGCUGAAUCUCUCUCUCUCUCUCUCUCUCUCUCCUUUGUUCUCCAUAGUCAGUCCCUUGCCAAGUGAUGUUGCUUCUCCCGUUACAACUUGUACAAAAUGGCUGAAUAGUUUCAUUUCAUCAUAUGAGGUAUAAAAACAUCCUUAUGAUCA